rnacentral:rRNA from 1 species
AGCGAACGCUGGCGGCAGGCUUAACACAUGCAAGUCGAGCGGGCAUCCUUGUGGUGUCAGCGGCAGACGGGUGAGUAACGCGUGGGAACGUGCCCUUCGGUUCGGAAUAACUCAGGGAAACUUGAGCUAAUACCGGAUACGUGCGAGAGCAGAAAGGUUUAUCUGCCGAAGGAUCGGCCCGCGUCUGAUUAGCUAGUUGGUGAGGUUACGGCUCACCAAGGCGACGAUCAGUAGCUGGUCUGAGAGGAUGAUCAGCCACACUGGGACUGAGACACGGCCCAGACUCCUACGGGAGGCAGCAGUGGGGAAUAUUGGACAAUGGGGGCAACCCUGACCCAGCCAUGCCGCGUGAGUGAUGACGGCCUUAGGGUUGUAAAGCUCUUUUCUCCGGGACGAUAAUGACGGUACCGGAGGAAUAAGCCCCGGCUAACUUCGUG